GUGCUUGCUUUGGUAGCACAUAUACUAAAAUUGGAAUGAUACAGACAUUAGCAUGGCCCCCGCACAAGGAUGACAUACAAAUUAGUGAAACGUUCCAUACUUUU
ensembl:snRNA U6 U6 spliceosomal RNA